rnacentral:rRNA from 1 species
UACGUAUGGGGCUAGCGUUAUCCGGAAUUACUGGGCGUAAAGGGUGCGUAGGUGGUUUCUUAAGUCAGAGGUGAAAGGCUACGGCUCAACCGUAGUAAGCCUUUGAAACUGAGAAACUUGAGUGCAGGAGAGGAGAGUAGAAUUCCUAGUGUAGCGGUGAAAUGCGUAGAUAUUAGGAGGAAUACCAGUUGCGAAGGCGGCUCUCUGGACUGUAACUGACACUGAGGCACGAAAGCGUGGGGAGCAAACAGGAUUAGAUACCCGGGUAGUCCCUGA